UUAGAAGCAGCCACCCUUUAAAGAAAGCGUAAUAGCUCACUAGUCGAGUCGGCCUGCGCGGAAGAUGUAACGGGGCUAAAACUAUGUGCCGAAGCUGCGGAUUUGACAUUAGUCAAGUGGUAGGGGAGCGUUCUGUAAGCCGAUGAAGGUGUAUUGAGAAGUAUGCUGGAGGUAUCAGAAGUGCGAAUGCUGACGUGAGUAACGACAAAACGGGUGAAAAACCCGUUCGCCGAAAGACCAAGGGUUCCAGUCCAACGUUAAUCGGGGCUGGGUGAGUCGACCCCUAAGGCGAGGCCGAAAGGCGUAGUCGAUGGGAAAAUGGUUAAUAUUCCAUUACUUCUGUGUAAUGCGAUGAGAGGACGGAGAAGGCUAAAUCAGCCUGGCGUUGGUUGUCCAGGUGAAAGGAUGUAGGCAUGUAUCUUAGGCAAAUCCGGGGUACUCUAUGCUGAGAUCUGAUAGCAAGCUGUACUUGUACAGCGAAGUGGUUGAUGCCAUGCUUCCAGGAAAAGUCUCUAAGCUUCAGUUACACAGGAAUCGUACCCGAAACCGACACAGGUGGUCAGGUCGAGUAGACCAAGGCGCUUGAGAGAACUCUGCUGAAGGAACUAGGCAAAAUGGUACCGUAACUUCGGGAGAAGGUACGCUGUUGUUGGUGAUGGAACUCGCUUCCUGAGCUGACGACAGCCGCAGAAACCAGGCCGCUGCAACUGUUUAUUAAAAACAUAGCACUCUGCAAACACGAAAGUGGACGUAUAGGGUGUGAUGCCUGCCCGGUGCUGGAAGGUUAAUUGAUGGGGUUAGCGUAAGCGAAGCUCUUGAUCGAAGCCCCAGUAAACGGCGGCCGUAACUAUAACGGUCCUAAGGUAGCGAAAUUCCUUGUCGGGUAAGUUCCGACCUGCACGAAUGGCAUAAUGAUGGCGGCGCUGUCUCCAGCAGAGGCUCAGUGAAAUCGAAAUCGCUGUGAAGAUGCAGUGUACCCGCGGCUAGACGGAAAGACCCCGUGAACCUUUACUGCAGCUUGACACUGAACUUUGACCUUACUUGUGUAGGAUAGGUGGGAGGCUUUGAAGCUGGAACGCUAGUUCCAGUGGAGCCGUCCUUGAAAUACCACCCUGGUAAUGUUGAGGUUCUAACUCUGUCCCGUGAUCCGGGACGAGGACCGUGUCUGGUGGGUAGUUUGACUGGGGCGGUCUCCUCCUAAAGAGUAACGGAGGAGUACGAAGGUGCGCUCAGCGUGGUCGGAAAUCACGCGUAGAGUAUAAAGGCAAAAGCGCGCUUAACUGCGAGACCCACAAGUCGAGCAGGUACGAAAGUAGGUCUUAGUGAUCCGGUGGUUCUGUAUGGAAGGGCCAUCGCUCAACGGAUAAAAGGUACUCUGGGGAUAACAGGCUGAUACCGCCCAAGAGUUCAUAUCGACGGCGGUGUUUGGCACCUCGAUGUCGGCUCAUCUCAUCCUGGGGCUGAAGCAGGUCCCAAGGGUAUGGCUGUUCGCCAUUUAAAGAGGUACGCGAGCUGGGUUUAGAACGUCGUGAGACAGUUCGGUCCCUAUCUACCGUGGGCGCUGGAAAUUUGAGAGGAUCUGCUCCUAGUACGAGAGGACCAGAGUGGACGAACCUCUGGUGUACCGGUUGUGACGCCAGUCGCAUCGCCGGGUAGCUAUGUUCGGAAGGGAUAACCGCUGAAAGCAUCUAAGCGGGAAGCCUACCUCAAGAUAAGAUUUCCCUAGGACUUUAUGUCCUCUAAAGAGCCGUUCGAGACUAGGACGUUGAUAGGUUGGAUGUGGAAGCAUAGUGAUAUGUGAAGCUGACCAAUACUAAUUGCUCGUGAGGCUUGACUAU
rnacentral:rRNA from 1 species